rnacentral:lncRNA from 1 species
UUAAAUUAUUAAUCAUAUUUUUUAAUUUUACUGAUUAGUAAUUACUUACUUAUUAAUUAGUAAUUAAGAAAGUGUCGGUGGUGAAAAAGUAUAGCGGGAAAUAAAAUCGUCUAGCAGUGGCCCAUGUCUCCGGUAAUCACGGGAUGUGGACCACGUCAUGCGCCCUUUUGUUUAUCGCUAACUUAGGGACGAAUCUGGACCGUACACGUCUGCAUCUUUCUUAAAAUUUCCCAUUAGUCUAUUAACUAUUCCCGCGGAAACGUGAGAUUCAGUUAAGGAAGUGGAAAAGCUUUUUUGAUUUGUAGUAAUAAAUCCUUAAAUAUUACCAUUUUUAUGAUUAUUUUCCAAGAAUAGUUUUUAAAUAGAAGUUUCCACUCAAUUGGCUCAAGGCGGGACAAAUCUAAAGCACUCAAUUGGCUCAAGUUUUCGAAACAGUACCGAUACGGAAGAUCUUUGGUGAACCGGUUAUCAAUCUGGUCUGAUAUGUUUCGAGAGGAUCACAAUUCGAGUAAUGUAACUGCACAUUGUUUUGUGUUACUAGUUGGAUUACACUUUAGAUUCUGAAAGCUCAUAAUAUUUCAAACCGGUUCAUGGUUGGCUGAUGACUCAAUUAUUCAAACCGGUUCUGAAAACAUUGAUUCUAUCAAUUAAUGAGAUGGGGUUA